CUGGCGAACAUUUGGUGAAAAUUUGAUUCAAAUCGGACUGAUAUUGAGCGCGCAGUAGCGAUUUUCCGCAAAACGCCAAAAAGGGUGUCCUGUAACCUUAAAGAUAUACUUUAUUAAAGGUACUUUACCUGACAAGCGCACCAAUUAUUUCCAUCUGCGGCGUUCCGAAAUACUUGCCAGUUUCUCUGAUCAAUACCUCGUAAUGUAAACUGGCGGGAAUAUCCUCGCAAGAUCCUUGUGAUUGGUUGAAAGUUACGUUCGAUGACUGAUUGACACUGGCAUUUGAUGAUUGCACAGGAGUGUUUGAC